rnacentral:rRNA from 1 species
UACGGAGGAUGCGAGCGUUAUCCGGAUUUAUUGGGUUUAAAGGGUGCGCAGGCGGCACGGCAAGCCGGCGGUCAAAUCGCGGGGCUCAACCCCGCCCAGCCGUCGGAACUGCGGGGCUAGAGUGGGCGAGAAGUGCGCGGAAUGCGUGGUGUAGCGGUGAAAUGCAUAGAUAUCACGCAGAACUCCGAUUGCGAAGGCAGCGCACCGGCGCCCUACUGACGCUCAGGCACGAAAGCGUGGGUAUCGAACAGG